UUCGAUCUGCAGUGUUCGACAGGGUCUAGCAAAUUUGAACCAACACUCAAAACCUUGGGAGCUGUUGUCUUUCGGCCUUACGGCCUUAAGCUUGUUCCCACCUGUUAACCAGGUUCAAGGUCGCUAUUCUCACCGGCACAUGCGGAUCUUUU
rnacentral:other from 1 species